rnacentral:piRNA from 1 species
GCCCAAACGUGAACCAGGUUCGUGC